CAAAGAAAUCAAGAUACUAUUCACAAUGGAAUCAAAUGCAUUUUUUCUAACAUGAUUCUACACUUAGGAAAGGUACAAAAGAAUAAAAUUAUUAAAGGACUCUUGUAUGUUUUUUAAGGUAAAUCUUUUCAAAAGACGUCAAAAGAAAACAAAGAAAAGAAGACAAGAAUCCUUUAAUAUCAUGAUAUGUAUACAAUGUACUCACCAUAUAUCAUCAAAAUAUAAUAUUUAAGUAUUUACCUUCUAAAAAUAUGUAAUUAUUUUAUUAUUUUGAAUAUUAUAUGAGUGAUGGCAUAUCAUUGGUGUCUAUAUGAGUCUUUGCGAUGACCAGUUCCAAGAGCUCAGGUAAAAGAGGAAGGCUGGUUUCUAGCGGCCAGCUGAUUGUAAGACUUGGCAAGCCGCUCUCUACUUUAAGAGCUAACCCCCAAUUGUUGGAAGAAAGUAUAAGAUGAUGAUGGUGGUGAUGGUGAUUUUAUUAUCUUGAAUUAUAUGGAAAUGUCAAUGAAUUUGACUUUUAAAAGUGACCCCGUCGAGCUCCCCAUUUUGUGUCGAACAACAACAUAGGCGUACAUGUCUAUGUUACAUAGGUUGGGUUUUUCUUUCAUCUACAACUAGGUACAUGCAAAAUGACUUUUGCUUUCCACUAGCUGUUCAUUUAUAAUUUAUCAGAAUCCUUAUUCAAAUAUGUUGUAUUAGUUUCUAGUUUCAUACAUAAAUCAGCCUUGGACCUUUUGAAUGUACUUAUUUUAUGAUAUUUGCAUUAGAUGGAGACUAAAGAUGGAAUCAGGGGAGAUAAAACUGGCAUGGCUAUUACCUCUCCAAAAGGCUUCAUCCAUUAGCCCCCUUCUUCUCAUCUUGGGCAUAGACAACUUUGAGGGGAGGUCCUCCUUCCAUCAUUUCGAUAAGAGGAUGUAGAUUCAUCAGAGGAUGGACAGGAUAUUUUGUCAAAUGGACAUCUACAAGUUUCAUCUGAGAUGGCAAAAUUAGCAAGGGGAGCCUCCACUCCACUAUUUCCAGAAGUCGAUAUUCUCCUAUCUCGGUUCAAGGAUUCUUGCAAUGAGACUUAGUUGAUCUCAUAAAGCAGGUAUGCCCUUGAGAUUAGAGGUGGUGGACUAGAUAUGCCCACUCGAGCUAUCCAUCUGAGUUUUCUUUACUGUUUUUGAAGAUUGAUGCAAAACUCUACAAUCUCAAGAAGAAGAUUUCUUUCCAAGAUUUGAAGUACUGUUAGACACUUCUUGAGGCUCCAGCAGUGAUUAUAAAAUGUCCACAAUUAUUCUUAGCAAUGAUUCGGUCUAUUAAGCACUAAUGAUAUGUUUGCUUUUGGGUUCCAGGGAAGUAUAACACAAUGUAUGGGCUGAAAUUUUAUACAGUAUGUUAGACUUCCAGUGUAGUAGUGGGGUCCAUGGUUCAGAGAUCCACACUGUUGGUACAAUGGGUGUCACCAUGAAUGAUCCUAGCACAAAACCUGCAGUAUUUUUUUGAGUUAAAUGUGAACCAUUGUUGUUAUUCAUGUUAGAGAAGAAGAAAAGGAAUAGAGAAAAGACAAGAGGGAUUAGGGAGCUAAAUGUCUCUCUCCCUUUAAGCUUUUAUUUAUAAUAAGAUUAACCCUAAACAACAUACAUCAUAUGGUACCCCACAGGAGUACCCAAACUAUACACGCACACAAUCUCCUCACCCCCUCAAGCUGGAGCACAACUCAGCUUGCACACAACCUCCUGAAGAUGAGAACUCCAGCCGGUUGGACAAGCAGAGUACACAACAACUUAAUUGAAAUGUUCUCUCAUAAAAUGGCAGUCGACCUCUAUAUGCUUAGCAGCAUGAACCAUCAAAGCCAUACCUGAAGAAGAAAAUGAAGCCAUCUAAUUUCACAUGUAUCAUGAGCCAUCGAAUGAUACUCUGCUUUUAUUAUUUUGUUUCGAAAUGAGGGAGCAGUCAUAUUGAUAUAAAAAAAUAAGUAUUUUAAAAAAAUUUAAACAACGAAGAAAUUGACAAGAGAUGAUAAACAGCUAUCAAAGAUUUAAAGUUUUAGGCAGUUCUUAA